rnacentral:rRNA from 1 species
AGUGAACGCUGGCGGCAUGGUUAAGACAUGCAAGUCGAACGAAAAGCAGAUCUUCGGAUUUGUGGAAAGUGGCGAACGGGUGCGUAACACGUGAGCAACCUGCCCUAAAGUUUGGAAUAGCCUGUCGAAAGAUGGAUUAAUGCCGUAUGUGGCCUUUCAUCGCAUGGUGAAAUGGCUAAAGCUUGUAAUGGCGCUCAAGGAUGGGCUCGCGGCCUAUCAGCUUGUUGGUGAGGUAACGGCUCACCAAGGCUAAGACGGGUAGCUGGUCUGAGAGGAUGAUCAGCCACACCGGGACUGAGACACGGCCCGGACACCUACGGGUGGCAGCAGUUUCGAAUCAUUCACAAUGGGCGAAAGCCUGAUGGUGCAAUGCCGCGUGGAGGAUGACGGCCUUAGGGUUGUAAACUCCUGUCAUUGGGGAGCAACAAGCAGGUUUAUAGCCUGCCCUGAGUUAACCCAAAGAGGAAGAGGUGGCUAACUCCGUG